AUUGAACGCUGGCGGUAGGCCUAACACAUGCAAGUCGAACGGCAGCACAGUAAUAGCUCGCGCUUACGGGUGGCGAGUGGCGGACGGUGGAUGAGUACAUCGGAAUCUACUUUGUCGUGGGGGAGAACGUGGGGGAACAUACGCUAAUACCGCAGACGACGUACGGGUGGAAGCAUGGGAUCUUCCGACCUUGCGCGAGUGAAGGAGCCGAUGUCGGAUUAGCUAGUUGGCGGGGUAAAGGCCCACCAAGGCGACGAUCCGUAGCUGGUCUGAGAGGAUGAUCAGCCACACUGGAACUGAGACACGGUCCAGACUCCUACGGGAGGCAGCAGUGGGGAAUAUUGGACAAUGGGCGCAAGCCUGAUCCAGCCAUACCGCGUGGGUGAAGAAGGUCUUCGGGUUGUAAAGCCCUUUUGUUGGGAAAGAAAAGCAGCAGGUUAAUACCUCGCUGUUCUGACGGUACCAACAGAAUAAGCACCGGCUAACUUCGUG
rnacentral:rRNA from 1 species